UACGGGGGGGGCAAGCGUUGUUCGGAAUUACUGGGCGUAAAGGGCGCGUAGGCGGCUCUGUUAGUCAGGCGUGAAAGCCCUGGGCUCAACCUGGGGACUGCGCUUGAUACGGCGGGGCUUGAGGGCAGGAGAGGCUCGCGGAAUUCCCAGUGUAGAGGUGAAAUUCGUAGAUAUUGGGAAGAACACCGGUGGCGAAGGCGGCGAGCUGGCCUGUUACUGACGCUGAGGCGCGACAGCGUGGGGAGCAAACAGG
rnacentral:rRNA from 1 species